GGGUUGUGAGGUUAAGCGACUAAGCGUACACGGUGGAUGCCCUGGCAGUCAGAGGCGAUGAAGGACGUGCUAAUCUGCGAUAAGCGUCGGUAAGGUGAUAUGAACCGUUAUAACCGGCGAUUUCCGAAUGGGGAAACCCAGUGUGAUUUGUCACACUAUCAUUAACUGAAUCCAUAGGUUAAUGAGGCGAACCGGGGGAACUGAAACAUCUAAGUACCCCGAGGAAAAGAAAUCAACCGAGAUUCCCCCAGUAGCGGCGAGCGAAC
rnacentral:rRNA from 1 species